rnacentral:rRNA from 1 species
GAUGAACGCUGGCGGCGUGCCUAAUACAUGCAAGUCGAGCGAACAGACGAGAGUGCUUGCACUCUCUGACGUUAGCGGCGGACGGGUGAGUAACACGUGGGUAACCUACCUAUAAGACUGGGAUAACUUCGGGAAACCGGAGCUAAUACCGGAUAAUAUUUAGCUUCGCAUGAAGCAAUAGUGAAAGACGGUUCUGCUGUCACUUAUAGAUGGACCCGCGGUGUAUUAGCUAGUUGGUGAGGUAACGGCUCACCAAGGCAACGAUACAUAGCCGACCUGAGAGGGGGAUCGGCCACACUGGGACUGAGACACGGCCCAGACUCCUACGGGAGGCAGCAGUAGGGAAUCUUCCGCAAUGGACGAAAGUCUGACGGAGCAAUGCCGCGUGAGUGAAGAAGGUUUUCGGAUCGUAAAACUCUGUUGUAAGGGAAGAACAAGUACGUUAGUAACUGGACGUACCUUGACGGUACCUUACCAGAAAGCCACGGCUAACUACGUG